UACGUAGGCAGCAAGCGUUGUUCGGAGUUACUGGGCGUAAAGAGUGCGUAGGUGGUGCCCUAAGUCUGUUGUGAAAUCUCCCGGCUUAACUGGGAGGGUGCGGUGGAAACUGGGGUGCUUGAGUGUGGGAGAGGUAAGCGGAAUUCCUGGUGUAGCGGUGAAAUGCGUAGAUAUCAGGAGGAACACCAAUAGCGAAGGCAGCUCGCUGGGACGUGACUGACGCUGAGACGCGAAAGCGUGGGGAGCAAACAGG
rnacentral:rRNA from 1 species